CACCACCCCCCUCCCUCCAUCUCCUCCUCCUUCUCUCCUCAGUACCGACAGACCGACAAAUCCCUCCCGGUGCUCCUGUCUCCCCCCCCCCCUCCUCCCCUCUUCUCUUUCUCUCUCUCUACGUCUCCUUCCCCGCCAGCCAUGAUCCGUGGCGGGCUAAUUCCCAGACGGUCUUCUUCUUCUUCUUCCUCCUCUUCUCCUCAUCACCCUCUUCCUCCCCCUCCUUCUCCUCCUCCUCCUCCUCCUCGCGGGCUCGAGCGAAACGCGUCGACCAAUCACGUCUAGCAGCUCGCCAGCCUCCUAUGUGAGCGUGUGUGUGUGUCUGUCUGUGUAAGUGUGUGUGUGAGGUCAUGUCAGGCAUGACCAGUGGCGUGUGUGUGGAGAGCGACCUCUCCUCGAUGCUCCAGAGAAGCUCCGCCUCCUCCCACCAUCACCCAAAUCACCAUGGUUACAGCGGACAGGGACAGGUGACGGGUCUCGCUCCGAUGUUGGACUACACCUCAGAGAUGGAUCGUUAUCGUUCGUCCAUCGCCAGUUUUUAUAAGACGAACGUCAACAUGAACAUGAACGUCACAAACUUUCCUCAGUCUGCCAAACUGGCGGCCCGUUUGGCAGCUGCCGCCCCCAUCUUUCCUCCCUCAGCCGCCAGGCUGGGCGCCAUGGCGACCGGGCCCUGGGCCUGCCACGAAAACAUGAACAUGAACAUGAACCACCCGGCAGCCAUGUUCUGGGGCCGACCCAAACCCGUAGCGACGGCGCCUACGCAUCACCACCACCACCACCAUCACCCGACGGCAACAACGGGUCACAUGACCUCCUCCCACCCCCACAGUACCAGCAUGCACCAGGGCGGCGGGGGGUCAGGAGGGGGAGGAGGUGGAGGGGGCAGCGAGGGGGGAAGAGCUGAGAAACACGGACACACUGCCCCCUCACUUCCUGUCACACAGGGAACAUCACAUCAUCAUGCCAUGGCGCAUAGCAACGGGAACUUCCUGCCGGGUUACGGAAGCGGCGCGGACUGUGGCGUUAUGAACAAACAGGGACACGCCCACCCAGACAUGAUGGGCCUAUCAGACGGUGGGAACUGCAAUGGGGGAGGGGUGAUGGGGGGUAGCUUUCUAGGGGGACUUGGAUUACCUCCAGGGGUCAUUGUCAUGGCAAUGGGGUCAGCAGGGGGCGGGAUAACGGACGCCGGCAGCGCCUUCCAGAUGACAAGCGGCCAGCGGGCGCUAACGGACUGCCAGCAGCACGCAAACUCCUCCCCCUGCCCGUCCUCCUCCUCACCGUCAUCGUCAGGGGUGACGGCAGGAGGCGUGGCCUUGUCAUCGUCGUCCUCCUCGUCGUCGGGUGCGGUGGCGAAAAGGAAGAGGAAGCGGUGUGGCGUGUGCGGGCCGUGCAGGCGACUCAUCAACUGCGGCGUCUGCUCGUCCUGCCGCAACAGGAAGACGGGUCACCAGAUCUGCAAGUUCAGGAAGUGUGAAGAGCUGAAGAAGAAACCAGGGGGAGGAGGGGGGGUGCUGGAGCGGCCGCCCUCCGUCCCGACUGGCGAGGCGUUUCGUUGGUUCUUCUAACCCUCCCUCUGCGAGCCGAGGGCGGAGGGAGCUAGAGGUCAGGAAGCUUCUGUCACAAACUGGACUUGAAUAAACUCAGAACAAGAACUACAAGUCCUGGAACUUAAACCAGACGCUUAGCAACGGGAUUACAACUUUCAUACUGUGUGGACGACAAUUUCAGACUCCAAAUCAUCACCUCAGCUGGAACAGGGAACGCCGCUCGGAGGCGGAGGAAGAGCGGAUGGUUUGAUCACAGGAUACAAGAACCCGGCCAAUCAGAAUUAAGUGUCAUGAUGCCACGACUGCACAUUUUCCUGAACCUUUGGCAGCAAACCACAAACCCCAUCGUAGCCAAACAAGGAAGAUUCAGGACUCUCGUGGACCCCCUGCUGUCACCACAAAAAACGUUCACACUUUGACCAAAACCGCACGGCAAGUUAACCUCAAAGGACAGAAACUAAAACCAGAGGGCGUACGAACUGACCUCAGCAAGAAGUCAUCCAGGACUGUUACCAAGGACUACAACUUCACCAUCGUAGGACUACAAUUACCACAACACUGUUAUCUGUCUCUUCUGUCUACCUCCUCCUCAAGACCUCACAAGGCACCUUGACUGACUUUUUUGUGUAUUCAUGUUCGUACAUCUCGUUCUGCUUCUUGACUCUCUAGAUGGUCCCGAGCGGAUUUACGUCUGAAGGAAUCUGCUGUUUACAUUUUUUAUUGAUUUAUUCCUCUUGUUUACUUUUGAUUUAUUUAUUUAUCUUGUCUCGAUUUCAACGGAAAGUUCUCAGGGCGCUGUCACACUUCCACUCGAUUUUUUACGGAACUAAAGCAGACCGGAAAAACUCACUUUGUUGUAUUUCUGUGUUUCUAAAUUCUGUCCUUGAAAUGACCUUUGAACCCCGACUUUGGUGGACUUACCAAUCGUUUUACCAAAUGAGCCAACGGGGAACCAGACGAGUGUCUUCAAAAGGAAUAUUGUGUGAUUUGGGUGGAGUAUUACGUGUACUUCCACUUCCAGACCUAAAUAGUCUUCAUUGGUCAAACCCUCAACCCGGACCACAGAGAGAGUUCAGAACCAGUUUAUCUGUUCAUCGUUACA